rnacentral:rRNA from 1 species
GGACUACCGGGGUAUCUAAUCCUGUUUGCUCCCCACGCUUUCGCGCCUGAGCGUCAGCCGUCGGCCAGGGCACUGCCUUCGCCAUUGGUGUUCCUCCGGAUCUCUACGCAUUUCACCGCUCCACCCGGAAUUCCAUGCCCCUCUCCGACGCUCAAGCCGGGCGGUUUGACGGGACCUCUCCUAGUUAAGCCAGGAGCUUUCACCCGCCACCUGCCAGGCCGCCUGCGCGCCCUUUACGCCCAGUAACUCCGGACAACGCUCGUCUCCUACGUAUUACCGCGGCUGCUGGCAC